CCCAGACCACCAGCUAAGGUCCCAAAAUAUAUGUUAAGUGGAAAAGGAUGUGGGGUUGCACAGACAACUAGGAUGUUAGCUUAGAAGCAGCUAUUCAUUCAAAGAGUGCGUAAUAGCUCACUAGUCGAGUGACCCUGCGCCGAAAAUGUACCGGGGCUAAAACAUAUUACCGAAGCUGUGGAUACCUUUAUAGGUAUGGUAGGAGAGCGUUCUAUGUGCGAAGAAGGUGUACCGUGAGGAGUGCUGGAGCGCAUAGAAGUGAGAAUGCCGGUAUGAGUAGCGAAAGACAGGUGAGAAUCCUGUCCACCGUAAGACUAAGGUUUCCAGGGGAAGGCUCGUCCGCCCUGGGUUAGUCGGGACCUAAGGAGAGACCGAAAGGUGUAUCCGAUGGACAACAGGUUGAUAUUCCUGUACUAGAGUAUAUAGUGAUGGAGGGACGCAGUAGGCUAACUAAACCAGACGAUUGGAAGUGUCUGGCCAAGCAGUGAGGUGUGAUAUGAGUCAAAUGCUUAUAUCUUUAACAUUGAGCUGUGAUGGGGAGCGAAGUUUAGUAGCGAAGUUAGUGAUGUCACACUGCCGAGAAAAGCUUCUAGCGUUAAUUAUACUCUACCCGUACCGCAAACCGACACAGGUAGAUGAGGAGAGAA
rnacentral:rRNA from 1 species